rnacentral:rRNA from 1 species
UACGGGGGGGGCAAGCGUUGUUCGGAAUUACUGGGCGUAAAGGGCUCGUAGGCGGCCCGCUAAGUCGAACGUGAAAUCCCUGGGCUCAACCCAGGAACUGCGUCCGAUACUGGUGGGCUUGAAUCCGGGAGAGGGAUGCGGAAUUCCAGGUGUAGCGGUGAAAUGCGUAGAUAUCUGGAGGAACACCGAUGGCGAAGGCAGGUCUCUGGGCAUUAACUGACGCUGAGGAGCGAAAGCAUGGGGAGCGAACAGG